AACAACACAAUGCGUGAGCAGCAAAUCGGGAAGAGGCGCAGCGUAGUAGUCACCGUCUGGCACAGCUGGUGAGCACAACAUAUCGACGUACGUAACAGAUUGCUGGGGCAGAUGAAUAAAGUCGCUGCAAUGUAAUCGGCAAGUAGGUUGGGACGGGGGGUCACUGAGUUGUGGCAGUUCAAGGCGCAGCACACCGGCGGAGCAAUCAAUAAGCGCAGAGUUGGUUGCCAGAAAAUCCAGACCAAGUAUGAGGUCGUGGGGACAUGUGGCAAGGACAGUAAACAGGACGACCACCUGAUAACCGGCAACGGUAAGGUGAGCUGUACA
rnacentral:lncRNA from 1 species